rfam:Drosophila ficusphila Contig6534, whole genome shotgun sequence
GUCAAACCAAGUCGUCUCGAAACCUCCUCGUGGUAUCCUCCGGGUGCUAGACAGUUUACUGACUAGUAGCUAAUUCGAGACG